GCCUUCGUAGUGUAGUAGUCGGCACGCUCGGCGUAUAACCGAGAGGUCUGUGGUUCGAUUCCCGACGAACUCG
rnacentral:tRNA from 1 species